AUACUCUGGUUUCUCUUCAGAUCGUAUAAAUCUUUCGCCUUUUACUAAAGAUUUCCGUGGAGAGGAACAACCACGAGUGUGAGAUC